rnacentral:lncRNA from 1 species
AUGGAGCACACCAAGCCCUGCUGUGAGUGUGCAACCCACUGGUGUGCAGCCCCAGGCUCAGCACAGCCACCGGGUCCCAACCUCCUCGCACCGCUACUCUCCAGUGCUGAUAAAUGUGUGUCUUUUCCCUGGACAGGGUUCAGAGAUGGAUUAAGCAGCUGGGAGUCUGGAGGAGAGCGCGGCCCCUCUCUUUUGCCAUGCAAACAGAGAAAAUUAAUCUUCCAGCUUCCUCUGAUAUUUGGGCUAAAUUACAAGCUGGGAGCGGAGAUAAAAGGACGGGCGAAGGAAGGCACAGAAACCGGCAGCCUCCCCGUCCAUGCAAACCCAUGCAUCUCAUCCAGGCUACGUGUGGUUGGAGGAAAGGGAGUAAGCACUGGUGUGUGCCCAGAAACACAGCAGCAACGUGCAGACCUCAGCUGUAGCAGCACGGUGCUCUGCUGGUUUGGGAGACACCGACACCAACACAGCCAAACCAUCACAGCACAUCAGCUUGUGCGGGAGGCUAAAGGGGGAUUUCAUCUGCCCAUCACAUUUCAGCUCUGA